rnacentral:rRNA from 1 species
UACGGGGGGAGCAAGCGUUGUUCGGAUUUACUGGGCGUAAAGGGCGCGUAGGCGGCCAGCGCAAGUCGGUUGUGAAAUCUCCGGGCUUAACUCGGAAAGGUCAACUGAUACUGUGCGACUAGAGUGCGGAAGGGGCAACUGGAAUUCUCGGUGUAGCGGUGAAAUGCGUAGAUAUCGAGAGGAACACCUGCGGCGAAGGCGGGUUGCGGGGCCGACACUGACGCUGAUGCGCGAAAGCCAGGGGAGCGAACGGG